rnacentral:rRNA from 1 species
ACGAACGCUGGCGGCGCGCCUAACACAUGCAAGUCGAACGAGCGAGAGAGAGCUUGCUUUCUCGAGCGAGUGGCGAACGGGUGAGUAACGCGUGAGGAACCUGCCUCAAAGAGGGGGACAACAGUUGGAAACGACUGCUAAUACCGCAUAAGCCCACGACCCGGCAUCGGGUAGAGGGAAAAGGAGCAAUCCGCUUUGAGAUGGCCUCGCGUCCGAUUAGCUAGUUGGUGAGGUAACGGCCCACCAAGGCGACGAUCGGUAGCCGGACUGAGAGGUUGAACGGCCACAUUGGGACUGAGACACGGCCCAGACUCCUACGGGAGGCAGCAGUGGGGAAUAUUGCACAAUGGGGGAAACCCUGAUGCAGCGACGCCGCGUGGAGGAAGAAGGUCUUCGGAUUGUAAACUCCUGUUGUUGAGGAAGAUAAUGACGGUACUCAACAAGGAAGAGACGGCUAACUACGUG